GAUGAACGCUGGCGGCGUGCCUAAUACAUGCAAGUCGAGCGAACGGACGAGAAGCUUGCUUCUCUGAUGUUAGCGGCGAACGGGUGAGUAACACGUGGAUAACCUACCUAUAAGACUGGGAUAACUUCGGGAAACCGGAGCUAAUACCGGAUGAUAUUUUGAACCGCAUGGUUCAAAAGUGAAAGACGGUCUUGCUGUCACUUAUAGAUGGAUCCGCGCUGCAUUAGCUAGUUGGUAAGGUAACGGCUUACCAAGGCAACGAUGCAUAGCCGACCUGAGAGGGUGAUCGGCCACACUGGAACUGAGACACGGUCCAGACUCCUACGGGAGGCAGCAGUAGGGAAUCUUCCGCAAUGGGCGAAAGCCUGACGGAGCAACGCCGCGUGAGUGAUGAAGGUCUUCGGAUCGUAAAACUCUGUUAUUAGGGAAGAACAUAUGUGUAAGUAACUGUGCACAUCUUGACGGUACCUAAUCAGAAAGCCACGGCUAACUACGUG
rnacentral:rRNA from 1 species